ACGUAGGGGGCUAGCGUUGUCCGGAAUCAUUGGGCGUAAAGCGCGUGUAGGCGGCCAUCCAAGUCUGAUGUGAAAGCUCGGGGCUCAACCCCGAGUCUGCAUUGGAAACUGGGUGGCUUGAGUCCGGAAGAGGAGACUGGAAUUCCUGGUGUGGCGGUGUCAUGAGCAGUGAUAAUGAAGAGCCGCGGUGGCGAGGGCGGGUCUCUGGGACGGUACUGACGCUGAUCCGCAUGAGCGUGGGGACCAAAAAG
rnacentral:rRNA from 1 species